UACGGGGGGGGCAAGCGUUGUUCGGAAUUACUGGGCGUAAAGGGCUCGUAGGCGGCCAACUAAGUCAGACGUGAAAUCCCCAGGCUCAACCUGGGAACUGCGUCUGAUACUGGAUGGCUUGAAUUCGGGAGAGGGAUGCAGAAUUCCAGGUGUAGCGGCGAAAUGCGUAGAUAUCUGGAGGAAUACCGGUGGCGAAGGCGGCAUCCUGGACCGACAUUGACGCUGAGGAGCGAAAGCUAGGGGAGCAAACGGG
rnacentral:rRNA from 1 species